rnacentral:rRNA from 1 species
CGAACGCUGGCGGCAGGCCUAAUACAUGCAAGUCGAACGGCUCUUCGGAGCAGUGGCGGACGGGUGAGUAACGCGUGGGAAUGUGCCCUUAGGUACGGAACAACACAGGGAAACUUGUGCUAAUACCGUAUGUGCCCUUCGGGGGAAAGAUUUAUCGCCUUUGGAGCAGCCCGCGUUGGAUUAGGUAGUUGGUGAGGUAAAGGCUCACCAAGCCGACGAUCCAUAGCUAGUCUGAGAGGAUGACCAGCCACACUGGGACUGAGACACGGCCCAGACUCCUACGGGAGGCAGCAGUAGGGAAUCUUGCGCAAUGGGCGAAAGCCCGACGCAGCCAUGCCGCGUGUAUGAUGAAGGUCUUAGGAUUGUAAAAUACUUUCACCGGGGAAGAUAAUGACGGUACCCGGAGAAGAAGCCCCGGCUAACUUCGUGCCAGCAGCAGCCGCAGUAA